GACGAACGCUGGCGGCGUGCUUAGCACAUGCAAGUCGAACGGAAAGGCCCUGCUUUUGUGGGGUGCUCGAGUGGCGAACGGGUGAGUAACACGUGAGUAACCUGCCCUUGACUUUGGGAUAACUUCAGGAAACUGGGGCUAAUACCGGAUAGGAGCUCCUGCUGCAUGGUGGGGGUUGGAAAGUUUCGGCGGUUGGGGAUGGACUCGCGGCUUAUCAGCUUGUUGGUGGGGUAGUGGCUUACCAAGGCUUUGACGGGUAGCCGGCCUGAGAGGGUGACCGGCCACAUUGGGACUGAGAUACGGCCCAGACUCCUACGGGAGGCAGCAGUGGGGAAUAUUGCACAAUGGGCGGAAGCCUGAUGCAGCAACGCCGCGUGCGGGAUGACGGCUUUCGGGUUGUAAACCGCUUUCGCCUGUGACGAAGCGUGAGUGACGGUAAUGGGUAAAGAAGCACCGGCUAACUACGUG
rnacentral:rRNA from 1 species